UCUCGUCGGGGCUGGGGGCGCCGGAGGGGCAGCCCAAUCGUGUCCCCAACCCGGGGGCGCGAGUCUGCCUGGGUCACCUGCGGGACGGGGGCUCCGGAACACGCGAAGGUGCGCGGUCCCGGCCCCUCUGCGGCGGCUCCCAGCCCUGCUGGCUCCCGGAGCCGCGCGGGGUUUAAAUGGCUCCUGUUCCGGGUCCCCUCCCUUCCCCCCUUCGAGAAGGGGCCUGGCUCGGUCCCCUGUCACUCCAGGCUUCGCCAGCGGCGGCCUGCACCUGUGGGGCUGGCUGCCCAGGGGUUGGGGAGGAACAGCCCCACGUGCCAGGGGGUGGACAGAACUGCCCCACCUGUAUUUGUCACCGUAAGGCCUUUGGUUCUGCACCCCUUGAACCCGUACCCCUUAUCACUAGGAAACUCAGACGUGCAGCUGUCGCCCGCCCAGCUUCUCGAUUCCCAUCAGCCCAUCAAUAUUUACUGACUUUCGGCUUCCAGCUCUAGAUCCGUGGCGCUCUGGGACCUGCAGACACGUACCGAAACUUUCAGUGUCCUUUUUCAAAGUGGGAUUUGAGCUCCAAUAAGUUUCUAACGUGUCUCAUCAGGAAUGUGUUUUGCGUUAAGUGUGUGUGGUAAGGGAAGGUGGGUGCUUUCACACUUGGAAUUCUCUUGUCUCUAAACAGCAAUCGAUCUUGAAAUUGAUCAGCUGAACUUGGAUAGACCUGUGAAAACACAAAACAACAAAUCUAUCACCCUGUUUUCUUCUGGUUAAAAGUGGCCGUUUCUGUGGGGAGGGUUGGGUUAGGCUUUUCCAGGGGACAAAGUUCCCUUUAAAAUGUAAAAAUUCUUGGCGACUACAAGAGUUUGAAGGUGACUUGCUGGGUUUUUUCCUACUUUCCUGCCUCACCACAGCAGGAAGGUAUAAGGUCACUCCUAAGCCAACCCACCCGUGAUGAAUAUGGGAAGUGGUGUGGCUUUGUUGUCCAAGAUAGCAAAUGAGGCACCAAACUUCUCUGUUCUGUAUUUUCUCUCAUUUUUGUAUUCACAAAACCAGAAACUCUGAGGGGAGGCUUGUUUAGAUAGGCACUGAAUUUAUGUUCAACUGGGGAAGGAGGCUGUUGUUGUUAUAAAUUUAAUGUGUAACCCAUUAACGAACUGGGUUCUUUGAAAAGAUGGUGAGCAAAGUGUAUGCAGCUUGCCCAGCAAGGGUAUUUUCCUGCAUAUAUGCGUACAAAAGCGUGUUAACCCUAUGCCUUUUUAAUAAAGGUUUUACAGGGCAUUUCUGAUGGUAAAAGUUUAAAAGAUAGCAGGUAAAUUACUAACACCCUUAGCAUUUCAUGUAUUUUUUUAAAAAAGAGGUGUACACACAAGUCAACGCAUCUUCCUCAGACUUGUUAUUAUAAUUGAAGGAGUAAGUUGCAAAACAUUGGUUAAGGUGAAAUGUUGCCUUUUGGCUUUACACAGUGUAAGAGAGUUGGAGGUCAUUUUAAACUCAAAUUCAGGUGUUUAACCAGAAGCUGGAGAAGGGGAUCCCCGAGCACCUCCUCCUUUCUGUGGGUACUCCAGGUUCUAAAAAUCCUGGUGUAUUCUUAGUGGCCUUCUGUUCUCUCUGUCCAAGAGGCCCCGGUCUAGACUGUGGGAGGUGGGCAGUAAAACCCAGGAAAUACACACCAGGGCCUUUUUGGGGCAUGUGAGGCCCUUUGCUCCUGAUUUGGCCUGCUGGUUAGCUUGCACAGUACUUGCUAAGGUGUUUUUGGUCUGUUUUGUUUUGUUUUUCUUUUGAAAGUUUUUGUGGGUAGGUAAGUACCAGUGUACGUACUCCGCCUUUCCAGAUGCUGUUUCAGGAUUUUGCAGGAAUAAAAAUGUUUGGGGUUCUUCUCUGAGAGGCCCAUACAUCCCUCCCUUAAGCUGCUGCUUAGUUUUUUUUUUUUUUUUCCUAAGAUUUUAUUUAUUUAUUUGAGAGAGAGAGAAUGAGAGACAGAGAGCCGAGAGGGAGGAGGGUCAGAGGGAGAAGCAGACUCCCCGCCGAGCAGGGAGCCCGAUGCGGGACUCGAUCCUGGGACUCCAGGAUCAUGACCUGAGCCGAAGGCAGCCGCCCAACCAACUGAGCCACCCAGGCGCCCCAAACUGCUGCUUAGUUUUUAUAGAUACUGCAGUGUGACUGGAAAUUGGUGGUUUCUUUACUUAGGAUAGAAAGAAUUCAGGAGAGGGGCGCCUGGGUGGCUCAGUCUGUUAAGCGUCUGCCUUCUGCUCAGGUCAUGAUCCCAGGGUCCUGGCAUCGGGCUCCGUGCUCCGCGGGGAACCUGCCUCUCCCUCUCCCUCUCCUUCUCCCCACCCCCACUCAUGCUCUUUCUCUCUCUCUCUCUCAAAUAAAUAAAUAAAAUCUUUAAGAAAAGAAAGGAUUCAGGAGAGUUUGGGACUUCCGUACUGAGUUUCCAGGUACACUUGUAAACACACACAGAGGUGCACGCUUGCGCACGUAUUGUGUAUUUUUAACUACGUGCUGCAUGGUACUGGCACUAUUUCACAUGCCUGUCUUUUCUCUUGGAUUAAGUCAUCAAUUAUGCUUGCUUACACUCCAACAGCUGGUAAUUAACUGUCACAUUAUUAGAAAAGGAUGAAGGAAAGUGUGUCCAUUUAGAACCACUUAAAGAGUGGCAAUACACUGUUGUGGUGGAGCUGGGAAAAAUUGUUGCACCUGCAGAAUUUGGAUUAAUCCAAGUUUUGACUCUGCCUCAGUAGCUACUGAAAAAUAUUUGGGGCUCAUUGUAACAACUGUUGUUAUUUGGGGCCCAAAUUAUAAUUGUUCUAAUAGGGCUUUUUUUUUUCUUUUAAAAAAACUUGUAAUUAAAUAUUUUACAUAUAAGACUCCUGGGGUAUUAUACAAUUCAUUUUCUAUUUAACAGAAUUUGAUGUGGGGGUAGCUUGGACAAGUGUAAGGUGACACACUCUUUUUAUGAUAAUAGGGGUCUGAUUUGGAAGCCUCAUAGGAGUGCACAUUUUAGAACUGUAAGGAAUGCAAAGAACAAGGCUGGUUGAAUCUGUGAUCUUCAGAUCAGGAAAUUUUAUCAGCCCGUUUUAUAAAUGCAACAGCUAAGGCAAAGGGAAGUUAAAUGGCGUGCCCUGGGGUCACAAAGCUGGCAGGUCAUGAGAAGGCCCCCAAGGACCAGCUCUUGAUCCCAAAUGUCCCCACUAACCCCUCUACUCAGUUCGCCUGGAAACACGUGCAGUGUUCUAUGAAAUAACUUUGUCACAUCCAUCAGAUGAGGAUUUUUCAACUUCGGCACUACUGAUAUGCUGGUCCGCAUCACUCUCUGGUGGGGGCUGUCGUGGGCUAUGUAGGAUGUUCAGAAGCAUUCCUGGGCCCCCCUCACUCACUUGAUGCCAGGGGUACCCCCACUCCAGCUGUGACAGCCAACAAAAGUCUCCAGACUGUCAGAUGUUACCUGUGGGCCAGAUUGCCCUUGUUUGAUGAACAGUGUCAGCACCUUAGUUUUUAAAAGGAUUUUGGCUUUUAAAGCUCAAGUUAAUUUUUCUUUGUGAGGACACUGGCCUUUUGGAAGGCUUUUCCUGAAGGGCUGUUUUCUUCCCAAGUGCUGACCCUGAUAAUAGGCUUUAUUUACAUAGUAAAACUCAAACAAAUACUUGCUUCAUCUGCAUUUUUGUAGCCCGAGAAAGGAAAUGAAGCUGGAACUCCUGAGUGCUGUUUUAUGAGCCUUCAGUGGGGCUGCUGGUAGGCUCCACGCUGGCUCAGCAUAGAGCCCAAAGCGGGGCUUGAACUCACGACCCUGAGAUCGUGACCUGAGCUGAGAUCAAGAGUCAGACGCUUAACCGACUGAGCCACCCAGGCGCCCCUAGAUGUCCUGAACCUUGAAUGAAAGUUUGGGAAGGAAACAUCUGGACUUGGAAAGAUAGGCUGCUGCUCCAGUCAUAUUUACUUUGUGUCAGUAUAACCACAAGAUGUCACAGCUGAUGCCCUCUAGGGCUUAUGAGGUUGUUGGGGGAGGGGUGCUAUUUCCAUCCUCCUUCCCCAUCUUCAGCGAUGGUGUUUAGGAGAAAGGAGUCACAGCCUGAUACCACACGGAUACAUGCUCCAUUCUCUGCUCGUGUCUGAGGAUGCUCCGUCUUGUGCCCGGGGAACUUGGUCAGCUUUUCCAGAGUUCAGUCCUGAGCAUUGCCAUGGCUGCAGGUGCCGUCUGCCUAAGGUGUCUUAUUCACGAGAAAGCGCUUUGUCUGCCUUUCUUUCUGACCCCUGUGCAAACAGCCUUGACUAGCUCUUACCCCUUGCCGUCUGCCGCAGUGUGGUUUCUCUGGAAGGUCCUUCCCUCUGUCUCCUCUCUCGUCUGGGUGCUGGCAAGUGCUUCCCUGACAGCCGGUGCGUGCAGAUGCCUCUCCCAGGUGCAGUGCAGUCGCCCUUCAUGCUUGCCCUCCCUCCACGGCCAGCUGAUCACCAUGUCCUUUGGAGCCUGAAUGCCUUGUAUUUGUUGCUCCCUUUUCAUCCCCGGUGUCACUGCUUCCGAUAUUGGGUCAGAUUCUGGAUCUUGCAUGCAUCAGACUCUUCUGGAACUCCAGCAGUGGAUGUGCCAACAUGCUAAGUCGUGUCUCAGGUUCUUGCUGGAAGGGCCCCGGUAGCUCCUCGUAUUACACCUUAGCUAGGUGUACAAGGUUCUUUACCUCUUGGCACCUGCCUGUUCCCCAGCCUCAUCUUCUGCUGGCCUCCGUCCUGCCUUCACCUUUAGCCUGCACUGCCCCAGGUGCUAGCCACUUGUCAUAUGUAGCUCUUGAGCACUUGAAAUGUGGCUAGGCCAAACUGACACGGACUGUGAGUUAAAAUACACACUGGAUUUUAGAUUUAGUCUGGUCAGAAAAAAACAAAACAAAACAUAAAAUAGCUCAUUAAUAAUUCCUUUAUAUUGUAUACCUGUUGAAAUGAUCAUAGUUUAGCUCCACUUGGUUAAAUAAGUUAAAUGUAUUAUUAUUUUCUUAAAUUUAUAUAAUUGAGAGAAAGAGAGAGAGCAUGAGGAGGCAGAGGGAGAGGGAGAAGCAGACUCGCCACUGAGCGGGGAGCCUGACGUGGGGCUCCAUCCCAGGACGCCGAGAUCAUGACCUAAACCGAAGGCAGACGCUUCACCGACUGAGCCACCCAGGCGCCCCAAGUUAAAUAUAUUAUUAAAAUAAACUUUACGUAUUUCUUUGCUUUCUAAAAUGCAGCUCCUUCAAAAGUAGAAGUUAUAUCUGUGGCUCUCAUGUUUCUCUUGGACAGCUCUGCUUUGGACUCUUGUUAGGCAAAGCAUGGUCCUUGGAGUGGCCAUAGCAGCAUCCCCGGGGAGCUUGUGAGAACUGCAGACUCUCAAGCCCUACCCCAGACCUGCGGAAUUAGAGUCUGCAUUUUAACACGGUCUGCAGAUGAUUCAGAGCCAUGGUCCAGAUUGCCAUAGAGUGCUUUGGAGAGCUGUUAGCUGGUCCCCAACGUCCUGUGUUGUUUGAGGCUUUGCCAGGGUUUUCCCUUGCUUUCCCUGAGGUAAUUGUGGUUGCACGGAAGGCUUUGCUCAUAUGGCCCCUCCCAGGCAAAGCGACCCCUGUGUAAUCCUCCACACCAGGCACAGUAUGUCCACGGGACCCUUCGUGGCCCUGGGUAAUCAAGGACCUUGCAGCAUUCUUGAGCCCAGUCGGCUGGGACCUCCCUGAGAUUGGAGACUGGCUGCCCCUCGUUCCGAGUACCCCAGUCCAUUGGCUCACACGUUCUAAAAAGGCACCAGUUAAGAAUUGGUGCCUGUAACAGGGCCAGCAUCAUGCUGCUGCUUUGCUCCUGGUGUGGGCCUUAGGGGUGAAGGUCAGAGUACACCCAGGACCAAACAGGUCACGCAGGGCACCGUUUCCAUGAGCCAGAGCCACGGGGCCUGUGGGGAGGCUGCAGGUCUGGGGAGAUGAUAAGGAGGGGACCGUCAGUGUUUCUAAAGAACAGGACCAGGCAUGUCGUAAAGGCGCUAGAGAAUGAUGCCGCCUUGGCCUCCUCACAGCGUGGUGUAACUCGGAUCGAGGCCUCUGCAGAGGACAGAGCCGGAAUACAGAACUGGGUGGGUACUGGCCUCAAGCAUAAAGGACAUGCCCCGACCCCACCAGGAGGUAAAAGCAGGUGAAUCACAAGGGUUACGUUAGAAUCCUGAGCUGACGGUGACCUGUUCUCUCCUCUCUUCCAGAUUGCUUAUGACAUGGUGGGUGCUGCUUUGUCCUGAAGGGCAUGCCCACACGUUUAAAGGAAGCCCUGCCCUGAGUUUCCUUCCCCUGCCCUCCUGGGCUGCAUUUCCCUAUCUUAACUGCUGCUGAGUCCCUUUGCAAGCAGACCUCACUGUCACCAGGAGGUCAGGGAGGGGGUGGCCCAGCAAGUGCAGACGAGGCAGGAGACCAGUGUGGGUGACAGGAGUACCUGAGCACUUGUAACCCCUCCCGGCUGACCUGAAUGAGCCCAGGCCUUACGUCUCGGGAAGGGUUGUCCCAUGGACUCACGUAGUGGCCACAGACUGACUUGAGCUGAAAUCAAGAGUUGGAUGGACACUUAACUGACUGAGCCACCCAGGCACCCCUAGAUGUUACAAUUUUUAAAAAAGCUUCAGAUGAAUAGUUUUGGAAACUCAUGACAGGCUUUUGUCUUGAUGACACGAGAUGGGAUGUGAACCCUGCUGUGACAAACACGGUCUUACCUGGGCCCUUAGGACACCCCAGACACAAUGUGCACAGGUUCCCGGCGUCCUCUCUGUCCUGAGGAUUGCAGCUAACACUUCUAAAGCCUUUCUGUGGGCUCUCACUGUUCGCUGUGUGAGCGUGAGCAUGGAGAAUCUCUAACAACCCUGUGAAGUAGACAGCUGAGGGUGGAGACGUGCCUAAAGGGAGGACUGCACCCACAGCGCCCGCAGCUGUGUGGGUAGCCCCUACCUGGGCGUGCCGCACGCGGCAGGGCCAUCCUCAAGGGAGAGGGAAGCUGUAGCCCGAGUGCCAAGUGCUCGGCAGGUGCACACAGACCUUCUUGGAAGGAGAACAUCGUCCCUCCUUCAUGGCGCCAUGCCCAGCUCCAUUCUUCUGUGGCAUCAGGAGAGGAUGCCCUUUGCGUUACUGCUGGGGUGAUUCUGGUGUGUAGACACCCAGCAGGGUCACUCCAUGGCCAAGGGCAGUAACAGAUCAGUUAACAAAAAUGAAAACCUCCAUUCUUGAACCCAGACUGUAGGGGAAUCCCUCAAUAAACUUAACCUCCAGGGUUGGGGCAUCGAUACUAUCUUCCUAUAGCAUUGUAGGGUUUAGAAAGUUUUCUCUUAAAUAUUUUAUUUCACUUUUUACCCUUGUUUUGUCACGAGCCUCCCUGAAGGUUUGGGCAGGGCUGUGUGUGCUCACAGGUGAGAGAGCAAGGCCCAAAGCAUCCUGCUGCCCACACGUUAGCUGGUCAGGAGAACCACGGCUCCAGCCUGGCUGGGCCUUUGACCACAAAACUGAAUAGCUCUUUUCUGUGUGACUUUUUCUUUUUCUUUUAGAUUUAUUUAUUUGAGAGAGUGAGAGUGAGCACACAUGAAAGGGGGCAGAGGGAGCUGGAGAGAGAAUCCCAAGCAGACUCAUGACCUGAGCCAAAACGAAGAGUCAGACCCUUAACCAACUGAGCCAGCCAGGUGUCCCUCUCUGUGUGACUUUAAAAAAAAAACAAACGACUUUUUUGAGAUUUUUUUUAAAAAGACUUAUUUAUUUGAGAGAGAGAGUGCAUGUGCGUACAAGUGCAGGGCGGGGGUGCGGGGGUGUGGAGCAGAGGGAAAAGGAGAGAGAGAGAAUCUCAAGCAGACUCCCCGCUGAACCUGACCCUGAGAUCAUGACCUGAGCCCAAAUGGAGAGUCUGAUGUGUGUCUCCCCCGCCCACCCCACUUCUGCCCUCUUGCACUUGCUCUCUCUCUCUCUCUCUCUCAAAUACAAUCUUAAAAAAGAGUCAGGGGGAUAAAAAGCCAGGCACAUAACCCACUGAGCCACCCAGGCAUCCUGAGAUUAAUUUUUAAAGUGUAAGAAUCCUCAUGAUUUUAUAAAAUUACAUGCCCCCCAUUCUCUGAAACCCAUAUAAAAUACUGUAAGUCUCAACUUGGCAAUAGACCUGUUCAUGAUAUUUCUAGUAUUUAGAUCUUCCUCCGUAAACUAGAGAUUCGCAAACUUUUUCUGCACAGGGCCAGAGUAAAUAUUUUUGAUUUUGUGGCCGAAAGUGCUACUUUCUGCAGUUAGAGCAUGAAAACAGCCAUAGACGAUACAUAAAUGAAAGGGCUGGAUGCCAGUAAAAUUUAUUUACAAAAGCAGGUGGUGCACAGGAUUUGGCAUGCUGGUUGAGGGAUUACCGCCCCCAGCAAGCAGUGGUUUUCAAAGUGUGGCCCUCAGACCAGCCAUAUCAAUAUCACCUGGAAACCUGUUAGAAAUGCAGAGUCUUGGGGCUCCUGGGUGACUCAGUCGGUUAAGCGUCCGCCUUCGGCUCAGGUCAUGAUCUCAGGAUCCUGGGAUUGAGUCCCAUGUCGGGCUCUCUGCUCAGCGGGGAGUCUGCUUCUGCCUCUGGCGCUCCCCCUAUUUGUGCGCGCUCUCUCUCUCAAAUAAAAUCUUUAAAAAAGAAAACGAAUUUCUAGAAUAGCACUUCUCUAGAUCAGUAGAGGAGAUGGGGGAGCGUCAGGGAACAGAGGUGGUCCCAGAAAGUGGAUUUAUUUCUACCACCUCGUGUAUUCUGAAGCCAGGCAUUUCUGGAAUUCAGAUUCAGGCCUUCUGAGCAGAACUGCCGAAUACCCAACCACAUUUGCAAAUGGGUGUUUCGUGUUUGAAAUAAAAGUGGGUUGAGAAUGUAUUGUCUGAUUCCAUUGAUAGAAAUAUCCAGCAUAAGCAAAUGCAUAGAGACAGAGAGCGGAUGGGGGUGGUUGCUAAUGGGCUCGAGGUUUCUUUUGGGGAGUGAUGGAAAUGUUCUGGAAUUACAGAGUGGUGAUGUUUACACAAGUCUACCGAGUGUACUAAAAACCACUGAUUUGUAAACUUUAGAAAGGUGGAUUUUAUGGAAUGUGAGUUAUAGCUCAAUAAAGCUGUUACUGAAUAAAAGGAUAUGGGUUGAGGCAUUCAGACUCGUUCUUGAAUUGCAAAGACUUACUGCGAGGAGGCCAACUGGGAAAGUCCCAUCCUCUGGGCAGUUCCUUAGGGCCCCGCAUUGUGUUUGUCACUGGAUUCUUCUGUUGGUACUGGGUCUGGCCCAUGGGCAGACAGCCUAGGGAGAGAGUCAGUGUUUGUUCUUCAGGGAGAAUCACUCCUGACAGCCGGGAGGCCGCUGGGCUGGGAGAGCCUCCUCCUGCAGGGUAGAGGAAGUAUGGGAGGCGAGGCAGGCAGGAACCCAGGCCUUGCUCCAAGAGCACUGGGAGCCAUGGAAGGUAUUAGAGCAGCAGCAGGGCAAGUGGGUUCAGGUAUGUGGGGAGGAAUUAAGGAGUUUUUGGCUCCUGGUGGCAAUAGGGAAAAGUCUGGGGAUCUGAGUGGUAUCCCUAAGGCACAGGAGGGCCCACCUGGUGCUGGUGCUUGGAGGGAGGAUGCUGGAGAUAGCCCCUGAGCUAAGAGUGUGGGUGCAGGUGAUCCUCCCCUCUCCCCAUUCCAUUUGGUGGCAGCUGGGGCUGAGCAGGGAUGAAAGUCCCAGCUUCUACAAGUGGAGGGCCUCCAGAAAGCUCCAUGAGGGAACAGGUAUGUCCAGGGUAGACCUGGCCCUUCUCUUUGUCCAGGUGUGAUUGGGGCCAUGAGCUGGCGCUGUCUCAACACACUGGGUCAGGGCUACAUGGAACAGGUGUGCUCAGGGCCCCUCCCCACGGGCCUCUGCCCCUUCCCAGCACCUCCCGACAAGCAUUUAGCUUGCUUUGCUCCUAAGUGCGUUCUCCCUUCUCUGCCCUAACUGCUUCUAGAGGAAAGGAGCAGCUAGCUGGAAAAAAACUCCCUUUUAAGAAUAAGAAUUGUUAAAGAAGUAGUUGUCUAGCUAAAUCAUUUGAGUUACUUUAACUUCAAUUUUCUCCUUUUUAUGAAACAUAAGUCAAAAUAAGGAUUUCACAAACAUGGGAAAGAUGUUGGUUGGCUUCUCUGGGAGGCAAGAUAAGAGUCUUUUUUCUUUUUUUACUUUAUCUUUUUAUUAAAGAUUUAAUUUAGAGAGGGAAAGCAUGAGCAGGAUGAGGGGCAGAGGGAGAAGGAAAGAAUCUCAAGCAGACUCCAUGCUGAGUGCUGAGCCGGACCUGGGGCUUGAUCUUACAACCCCGAGAUCAUGACCUGAGCGGAAAUCAAGAGUCGGAAGCUCAACCCACUGAGCCACUUGGGCACCCCUCCUUUUUCUUUCUUUCUUUCUUUUUUUUUUUUUAAUGCACAUCUAGCAAUUCCUAUUGGGAUUGAAUGUCAUAGUAUGAUUUUGGUAGCUCUUCAAGAAGUGACAAGAUAGCUGAAGGAUCAGUUGUCCCUCUCACUAACAAGGUAUGGAUGGAGAAUGUCUCUACGUGGAAGUAUGCUUACUGUUUGAAGGGAUUAUACAUUGUGUGUAGAAAUGCUCUUUGUGUUUAACAGAGAAGAAGGGUUUUUGUGUGUGUGUGUGUUUUUUUAAGAUUUUAUUUAUUUGAGGAGCACCUGGGUGGCUCAGUCGGUUAAGUGUCUGCCUUCGGCUCAGGUCAUGAUUCCAGAGUCCUGGGAUCAAGUCCCGUGUUGGGUUCCAUGCUCAGUGGGGAGUCUGCUUCUCCCUCUAACAUCCCCCCCCCUUGUGCUCUCUCUCUCUCAAAUAAUUAAAGAUUUCAUUUAUAUGAGAGAGAGCGCAUGAGCAGGGGUGGGGGGAGAGGGAGAAGGAGACAAAGGCUUGAGCUCAGGACCCCAAGAUCAUGACCUGAGCCAAAGGCAGACACUUAACCCGCUGAGCCACCCAGGAGCCCGAGAAGAAGGUAUUUUAAAAUUUAAGUCUCAUUGGGAGAUAUAGUGAAUAUCAGACAGCUCUGGGGGCGCCUGGGUGGCUCAUUCAGUUAAGCAUCUGACUCAUGAUUUUGGCUCAGGUCAUGAUCUCAGGGUUGUGAGAUGGAGCCCACCGUGUCCGGCUCUACACGUAGUGUGGAGCUCUGGGCUGAGCUGCGUGAACUUUGGGGACCCAAUUUCAGCAGUAGCAUUUAAAGCCAGACCUGCCCUUGUAAUUCAGCCCCAAGCUGUAGCUAUUCAUAAAUAGUAUUAAUCACCACGAAACUGUAACUCAUCAAAUGAAUCAUCUAAUUUUGCACAUAUUAAUAACCAUUCUGGUUAUGGGACUACUGCCAAAUUAAUUGUACUCUAGAGUAAAAACAGGUUGUGUGAUCAAAUAAACCGUCUCAAUGUUUUGUUCUUAAAAAUGGGUUGUUCUUGGGGUGCCUCAGUGGCUCAGUCAGUUAAGCGUCUCCCUUCGGCUCAGGUCAUGAUCCCAGGGUCCUGGGAUCGAGUCCUGCAUCGGGCUCCCUGCUCAGUGGGGAGUCAGCUUCUCCCUCUCCCUCUGCUGCUCCCCCUGCUUGUGCGUGCUCUCUCACUCUGUCUCUCUCAAAUAAGUAAAAUCUUAAAAAAAAAAAAAAAGGUGUUGCUCAUAAUCAUCCUAAGAUUGUAUUCGAAUUAUCUUUGUAAGUAAUGAGACUUUGUAUCUGUAGUUAUGACUUCAGUUAGUGUAGAGUAUAUAGUGUGCCGUAACAACUUGGUCAUAUAGUUACUUUUCUCAGAGGCAGGAUCUGUAGGGCAGAGGAUUUGAGGGAGCAAAGCUUGUAACAAGCCAGGUGGGAAGGGUGUGGACCAUCACCACUGCUCCUUGACUCCGCCAUUUCCUAGUAAGACCUGGUUUCACAUCUCCCCACCCCCCCCAAAAGUUAUUGAUUACAUGAUUAAUACUUUUGAAAUCAUGUUUCAGAUUUUAAUGGAGAAGCAACAUUUAGGUUUCAGGUAAACGAGGCUAGUUACAUGAGGCUAGUUACAUUCUGAGUUCUCCCUCUGAUCUUUUUAGUUCAACUGAUUAAAUAUUCAAGGAUCAUCGAUUUCUAGUAAGAGAAGGGAACAUCUCAGUUGGGAUACAUAAGCCCAGAAAUCUUCCAUUGAUUCUCCCAUCCCCCAGGAAUAAUGUAUUUGGACAAAAGUAAUUGCAUGAGCCCUUUCGUAGCUAGCUCGGGGAAUUCAGAGCUCCAGCAGGGGAACAAUGAUGGAAAGCCGGAGGAACAUUCUGGGUAUUGGAAUGCCAGCGAGUGGAUCAAUACCCCUGCUGUGCUUCUGUGAUCCCAGCACACAAGAAUUCUGCCCUUUUGAACUGUGCAGGGUCUUACUGAGCUGGCCCAGUCAGCGUGGCUGAUUUCCAUGAUUAGGACGCCUGCAUUACGGUUCGGACCCUGGGAAGUGUAGGCAGAGAUGUUCCAAGCCAAACGUUCCCCCAAAGUCUCCUGUGGGGCACAGCAUGGGCAGACGUGCACCAGGACCGCCGCCUUCCCAAAGAUUCUCAGCACUGCUUUCAGGAAAGGCGUGUUUCACUUCUUUUAGAGAGGUAUCUCUUUUGCAGAUGUGAUGGGGUAAUGGCAGGAAAGAGUUCUCCUAGAGGAAAGUUCACUAUUCUUAUAUAGGGAGCUUUAGAAAAAGAAGCCCUAAAUAUCGAAAUACAACAGUUAUGGAAUAAUGUGUGCUUGGGAUAGUUUUAAAGGAUUCUAGAAAAUUCCCAAGUUUUAAAAAAAUUCUCUUUGCUCUGUAUUAAAAAAAAGGGGGGGGAAGGAAUUGCGGGGAAUGUAUCUUAAACUCACUUUGUUCGCUGGGGUAAUUGCCCCGUGGCUUUUUCUCCCUAGUAGAGACCAUGUUCAUAGUAUAAUUAAUCCUUGCAUCCAGAAAACAGUAUUUGUACACAUAAUCCCGUGACAGCAUGAAAUUUUAACUUAACUUUUAAAGCUUUUUGGUUCUCACAAAAUGGUGAGCAUCUUUCAGUGUUCUGUUCCCAUAAACUGGACCGGGGAUAACAAAAUGAACGAGCUCGCAUUUUAGAGAAGGUGACACUCAUUAACUUCGGUCCUCUUCCCAUGUUUAUAUCCACACUGCUAAAAUGCUACCUGGCCCAGCUCAUUCUUGGGGAACUUGGGUGAAAGGAGAAUCUGCACAGCCCUUGGGAACAGGCGUUCUAUAACAUUUAUUUUCUUUCAGACGCCGUGCUCAAGCUGGGUGCGAGGUACUGUGAGCAGGGAGUGUGCAUGUGACAGAAAAAGUAAGGAGCUGCUUGGCUCAGUCAGUACCCCACAACCCUGUGCAUGCCACACACCUGCAGACCUUGAAAGCGGGGGGUGUGCUCAGGCUGCAUUUCCAUUAGGACCCCUGGUUGUAGUGUAAGCUCCCCAGGUGAUUUUUACCUUGACUUUUGGCCUCUUGCGGCUGCUCUUUUCCCUUUAGUGCGAGCUUCCCCCGGCUAGCAGCUGCAGGGCUUGACCACGUGGGCCCGGGUUCCACCAGAAUCAGCAUCCAUACUGCACUGCCCAGCACCUGACGCAUGAUAGGCACUCAGUGAAUGCGUAAUGCAACAACCUUUGUCAAGUUCAAGGGUACUUUCUUUUUCUUUUGGCAUGUUGGGUUUUCAACAUGGUCAUCAAAGCCACGUGUUUCGUGAGUAAUCUAGCCUUGUGCAUCAGUGCUCAACUUGGGUGACCCAGAUGAAAUAGGCUUAUGAAUAAUACAAGUUUAUUGUAACAUUUAAGUGGUAUUCCACAUAACUUCUUUGAUAGGUUUUGGUUUUUAAAAAAUCUGUUUCUAAGAAUAACUGUUUUCAGCUCUUGAUUACUUAAAAACAAAUAACAACAAGAAAAAUCAGUAUGUAUAUUCUCACCUUGCACGGAUGAGCAGGAUUUGGGAAAACUUACCUAGAGGCUCAAAUGCUUUUGAAAGGUGUUCAGUCGUGAAGCAUACUGAGCCUUAGGGCCUCUAUUGGGCCUUAAAACUCCAGUGAAAACUGACUCUUGGAAAUGUUACAGCAGGUUUUGGGUAGAUAGACAAAGGGGGAUGACUCCACAUUUUCCCAAAGAGAAUGGAUUGAAUCCUAGGCUGCAUAUUUGAAUCACCUGGGGAGUUUUGAAAACUAUUGAUGCCCAGGGUACACCCCAGACUAGUUAAGUCAGGGUCACAGGGUGGGUCCAGGUAUCAGUGAUUUGAUUUGAUUUUAUUUAAAGAUUUUAUUUGCCAGAGAGAGAGAGCACAAGCUAGGGGAGAGGCAAAAGAGAGAGAGAAAAGCAGGCUCGCCGCUGAGCAGGGAGCCCGAUGCUGAUGCCGGGCUCUAUCCCAGGACCCUGGGAUCGUGACCUGAGCCGAAGGCUGAUGCUUAACCCGCUGAGCCACCUAGGCGUCCUGGUAUCAGUGUUUUUUAAAGCUCACCGGGAGAUUCAAAUGUGUAAAUCAAGGUGGAGAAUCACAGUCUUACCUUUUUGCCUUAACUCGCGUUGGCAGGUUUACAACCGGGGACCAAGAGUUGUCUGCAGAGCUCGACAAGAAAAUUCAGUCCACCUGGCCAGAGGGCUCCCUGGGUGCCCUGCACGAGUGUGUUUUCUGAGCCCGAGGAAACCACGUGGGUUCCCUUUGGGCCAGGAUAGGGGAGCAGAGUCAAGCUGUGGCUGAGCUCUGGUGGCCAAGGGGGUUACAAGGAUACGAGGGGAUACAAGCCUUUGUGCUGAGGCUGGAGCUGAGGGAUUUUAAAGCAGAAAAAGAUUUGGGGUGAUGAACUGUGUUUUAUGGGGUACUGGCCACCAGUUUGUGGACCUGCCAGGUGCUAGGCUAAAUGCUUUGUUGCAAGGAUUCUCUAAGUGGGGUCUCUGAAUCACUAGCAUCAGCCUCCUCCAGGAGCUUGUCACAAUGCAGACUAUCAUGCCCUGCCCUGGGGUCCGGCAAGCUGUUUUAAGCCUGUCCAUGGUAUCCAGAUUGUAGGCUGGUUUUGGGGAACCUCAGCUUUGUAUGCUUUAUCUUAUUGAUUCCUUAUAUCUGCUCCUGCAUAUUACAUGUUAUAGCUGUUGGAAACUGAAGUUUGGGAAUCUAAGUUCAGAGUUGCAAAGUUGGUGGAUGUCAGAGCUGUGAACAGGUCUCUCAGCCAGGUGCCCUACCGCUCUGGAGGUAGGCUCCGGGACUUGGGACUGCUCCUGUGAAAAGCCCCUGAAUCCGAGCUGUUCACCUUUAUGCAUCUACUUCCAGAACUGACAAGAUGAAACAGAAGGUAAGGUAUGUAAGUGUAUGGGUAGCAAUUAGUGUUAAUAUAAUAGAUGUUUAGCUUUUAAAUAAGCGCUUAUCUGGACUUUGGGGUGGGGUGGGGAGAGGUUACUUUCUACCUUAUGCAUGACUGUAGUGCUUGGGUUUUUCUUAAAAUCAUGUCUGUGUAUUUAUAUAUACACAGACACAUCUUUACAAAUGGCAAAGCAAUACUUGUUUCCAUCUGAACAGGUAAACAAAAAACCUCAGCAGGGUGUGAAGGCUGUAGAAUUAUGUGGGAGUCAGGAAAGUGGAUCCUAACAGCUCCUUGUGCAUUGACCUAGGACCGUCUUUGAAACUCCGAGCGGUUUCCCAUGUGUAAACUUGGGAGCCUAACAGGGUGCUUUGUGUAAUGGGCUAGUGUUUUAUACAUGUUUUAGCCAUCCACGUAUGUUGCUAAUGGUGGUGCUGCAAGCAAUGCUAGCCGGAUUCCCCACCUCUUGGAUGUCCUCACAGUAGGUGCUGGUGGUUUGUUUGCAGAGGGCUGAUGCUGCAGGUGGAUGGUGGCAGUGGCCAGAGGCAUCCUUUGGCUGUGGAAUCCCGGGGAUGCCCAGUAUCCAUGAUGGGGUUACAGGGCCACCGUUUGUCCAGACAGCAGGUAGCUGCACACUCUUUGCUUCCCCCCCAGUCCUUAGGGGGACAAGAGCACAUUGAGGGUUCUAGGGCUAAAAGAUGGGGAGCCAGUCCUAGUACAAGAAACCUUUCUCAUAUGUGAAAACCGGGGCCAAGAAUCUCAGGGUUGAGAAAUUGCCUUUGGCCGAAGAUGAAUCAUAAAGGUAUUUUCUGAAGUUAGCAUCUGAGAUAGAAAGUAUGAUUCAGAUUGGAAAAAGAGUGUACACCUGCCCCAGCAUAAUUACCAGAAUGUGCUUAUUACAACAUUCUAGUUGGGGUAGGUUAGUUAUCGUGAAUGUUUUCAGGGUGAGAAAACCAAGGACUCAGACCCAGUGCAGUAACAUUCAGGUGUCAGGUUCAGUUGGGAGAACAUUUCAGCCCAGUGCUAUUGAAGGUCACUAGUUACUGGCUUCAGAAAAUCAUCAGAUAUUUUCCCAGUGGCAUGUCCAGGUGCUUCUGAGGGUUCGGACCUGCAAGAGGCAAGGGAGCCACUUUCUGCACUUGGUCAAGUGAGCAUGAUCGAGUUGGUAGAAAAUGGAAAGAGAAUCUCAAAUCCUGGGAUUAGGAAUGCUGUGCCUGCAUACAGCUCUCUGAGGGGUCUUUUAGAACCGUGCUGCCCCCGCCCCAACGAGAGUGCACGUACAAGCCAUCAGAGCUGGUGCUGGAGGCGGGCUCAGUAGUUAGGGAGCCCUUUAUUCAGAAGUGGGCACAGCUCGAGCCAGUGGGACCACCCUAGCAAGCUGGAAGAGCCAGCAGGAGCCCGUGUGCGGAGCAGAUGUGGGGCCAUAAACCGUGUGGAUUAGUGUGCGGCGGGGCCAUGAAUCACCAGGCUCCGCUGCUUGUCAGACGCUAACGUGUGGGGGGGGUGUGGGGCCGGGUAACCUGCUAGGAGCCUGCGUCACCCUGGCUUGCUGAUUUAUCAGGUGUUCGUUCCCCUGGCCAAGGUCAAGACGUCUGAUAUUUGAUGUCUCUUGUGUUGAUUUCUUAGUAGAAACCCACCUCAUAAUGGGUCAGAGGAAGGGUGAGGACUUACUGUCCUGGUUUCUGCACCAGCAGGUGGCCAGAUGCCACGGCUUUCGUGGGGCUGUGCGUGUGCAGAGGAGAGAAGAGGGAGUUGUCAGGACUCCUAGGACUGGUUUCUUUCUACUUACUAACAGAUGUGCUCGUUCUGGUGGAGGAAACCUUCGGGCAGUCCUUAAGACUCUGUGUGCUGAGAAAAGAUGCCUCUGAACGUGGCAACCUUAGAGAAAGCCUCACCUAGCACCCCUAAUGGUCUGCAGGUGCCAGCAAGUUCUCCGGCUGUGGCUGAGCUGGACCUCCAUCAGGGAGUAGGCGUUCUGCUGCUUGCGCUUUCUCAGCGCCCUGUGAGCGGCUCUCUGGCUUUCCCCCGAAGAUCAUGACUUGGCCUCUCCUCUGCAAGGCUGAGAAUCCCAUUCCCCGUUUUCCCAACCUUUCUGAAAUUUCUCUCCCCUAGGUCAUGACUGAGAACAUGGUUCAAAAUAUUGGGUGACGAUCUGCAAAUUAUUUUUGCUUCACUUCGUUGGAAACCUCUGUUCAUUCUUCUCCCCCUUCACCUUCCCCCCACCCCACCCCGCCGUGCCUCCCCAGGGACCUCAUUACAAACGUCCGAACUGAACGCUUGUUUCCUGAGACCUUGAAUACCAAGGAUUACUUGGAUUACUUGCAAUGAAGAGGCCCCCCCAUGCUCGUCUGUCUGUGGUUAUUGGAGCAGAGAAUGGGAGAGAGCCAGGGCGAUUUUGGUUGUGUGGACUAGCGGCCUCCGUGGAAAAGGGACUGCGUGGGUUUGCAGAUGGUGGGGGGUGGGGGUGGCUCAUACAGAUGCCGGGAGGCCUGUCGAUCUGUGUCUUUCCUGCAGGCUUAAUUCUCAAGCAUGUUUCCCCUAGGGGAUGUGAAAGGUGGCCCCGGGCUUACAUUCCACAGGCCUGCCUUCUGGAAGGAAAGGAAUCCUUAGGCCCUGGCAAGCCUCACAGACGUUCUUCUCUUGACUGAAGCUGCGCAUGAGUUUGCCCCCCAGAUACCUGGCAAUGUCUGGAGACAUUUUGGUUGCUGUAGCUUGAGGGGUAGGUGGCUACUGGUAUUUAGUGGGUGGAGACCAGGGAGGCCGCUCAGCACCCUACAGUGGACAGGACGCCCCAGCCCAGAAAACGAUCCGUUCCAUGUCCGUAGUGCUGAGUGGACAGCGGUGCCCUUGGAACCGUCCCUGUUUGCAGGGACCAUGUUCCCUAAGCAUGGGUUCAGUGGUGUGCCCUGGUUAUUGGGAGUGGGGCAGAAGAAGCAGGAGAGUGAUGGGAAAACCUGCAGGGGAGAGCUGGUUUCCUCAGGAGGAAGGAAUGCUGGCAGACAAGGCAUCUUUUCGAGGUAGACAGUAGGUGUGGGCCCCUGGAGGCACUCCGUGUGUGCUCUCCAGAGGAGCUAUAGUGGGUGUUCCAUCCAUGCUUGCUGACGUGUUUGUGAGUCCUCGAGGCAUCUGGUUCUGAAAGCAGGGAGGGUCACCCAGCAUUUAUUGCUCUGGCCAGGAUCUGAGAGGAGAUCAGGCAAGGGUGGUUGAGCCCUUCGUGAAGUCCUGUGCUUGGGCAUUCCUUCUAGCCCCCUCUGUCAGCCUUGCUUCUGCUUGUGCAAACCUUGUCCCUCCCUCUCUCACUGUCUUAGCCUCCUUCUCUUUCCCUACCUGGCUGGUAGGUCUCCUUUCUUUAGCUCACACCCCCUGUAUGUCCUCACGUCCUCUGCAGACCCUGACAACAUCACAGCAAGCAGGGACUUCUGGUUACACACCCUUGUGCGAUGGGGAAAAUGCUGAAGUCCACAGGGACGAUGCACACUCCCCAAGGUCACACAGUUGCUUUAUGACCCAAUAAUGUCUAACUGAACCUCAGUGCCUUAAAGUCUGUUUUGGGCUGUGUCUUUAAAAACAAUUAAUAAGGGGUGCCUGGGUGGCUCAGUCGUUAAGCAUCUGCCUUCGGCUCAGGUCAUGAUCUUAGAGUCCUGGGAUCGAGCCCCACAUCAGGCUCCCUGCUCGGCGAGAAGCCUGCUUCUCCCUCUCCCACUCCCCCUGCUUGUGUCCCCUCUCUCGCUGUGCCUCUCUCUGUCAAAUAAAUAAAUAAAAUCUUUAAAAAAGGGCGCCUGGGUGGCUCAGUUGGUUAAGCGACUGCCUUCGGCUCAGGUCAUGAUCCUGGAGUCCCGGGAUCGAGUCCCGCUUCGGGCUCCCUGCUCAGCGGGGGGUCUGCUUCUCCCUCUGACCCUCUUCCCUCUUGUGCUGUCUCUCAUUCUCUCUCUCAAAUAAAUAAAUAAAAUCUUUAAAAAAAAAUCUUUAAAAAAAAUUAAAUAAAAAUAAAAACAAUAAGAACGAUUAUAAAAUUACUACUUCUAAGGAGUCAUAAAAGCAAUGGCUGUGGAUACUGAUUUUUACAAUCAUGCCAGCCAGACUUUCAGAGAUUAAUACAGAAGUAAAUGCAGAUUUGUUUCCUUAUCACAUAGUACUUUUUCCAAUUAAAUUUUGUGUGCUGACGUUGUGAAAUUAUAGGGAUCACAUUUUUUUAAGACUUUCCGAAGAGCAGUUUUAGGUUUCUAAUAAAACGGAGAGAAAAGUUGAGUGGUUUCCCACACCUCCUGUGUCCACACAUGCGUAGCGUCCCCCCAGUAUCGCAGGUACUUACUGGAGUGGGACGCUUGUUACAGCGGAUGAACCUGCACACACCCCUCAUCAUCACCCAGAGUCCCUAGUUUACUUCAGGAUUCACUCUUGGUUUGCACCUUCUGUGCAUUUGGACCAACAUAUAAUGACCUGUAUCCGUCUUGGUGGUGUCAUACGGAGUAUUUCCAGUGCCCUAAAAAUCCUCUGUGCUGUCUCUUCAUCCCUCUACCUUCCCUGGCAACCACUGAUCUUUUUACUGUCUUCGUAGUUUUGACUUUUCCAGAAUGUCCUGGAGUUGGAAUCCUACAAUAUGUAGCUUCUUCAGACUGGCUUCUCAGUAUUCUGCAUUAAGGUUCCUUCAUGUCUUUUCACGAUUUGAGAGUUCAUUUCUCUUUAGUGCUAAAAACACGUGGAGCAGAAAAUUUUAUGUUACUACUUAUGGAAUGAAAUUUUGAUUUUUUUUUUUUUAAUGUGACAAUUUUUUGUCCUCCUUCCUGGAUUGCUGAGUGGCUUCUCUCGUGUCUACAGUUGGUACUGCACAAUAUCUCUGAAAAUAAUGACCCCUAAAUAGUAUCACAUCGUGAGUGUUGGGUACCAGAUUCUCUGCCAAGUGUAGACCUAAAUUAUCCACUUAAUCCCACAGCAACUCUUAGUUAGGUACUGUUAUUCCUAUUUAUAAAUAAGGAAGCUGGAGAUGAGCCCGUAAAUAGCUAAUCCCAGGCUAUAAGCUCGUAAAUGGUUGAUGCAAGUCGAGGCUCUCUCAUUCCAGGCCCUGUGCACUUUGGACCCCAUGCCGGCUGUGGUCAUGGCUGUGUUUUAACGUUGUAAUGUUGGCAUUCUAGAGAGCAGGGCACAGGCUGAAGAUCUCUGAGCAUACCAUGUGGUGGUCUAGACCACUUUCAAAACCUUCUUGAGAGUUGCUGUCAGGAUUGAACAAGGAUCACUCCAGAAAAUGCUCUUAUAAAUUCAUUAGAGGUUUUAUUCAAAUAUGUUUCUACCUGAGAUGCAAAGUCUGUUCCCAUCCUUUCAGUCCAAUGCUUUGUUUAGAAUGUUCACUAAAAUUGCCCCUUGUCAAAAAAAUAAAAUGAAAUUGCCCCUUGUCUUCAAGGAUAGCUGUCAGCUCUGUUCUGUGGUACCUCAUCCUCCACCUCCUCUCUGGGUUUGUGCUCCUGUCUGUACUGGUUGAUCUUGGUCCUUAUCUAUCUUGAUAUUCGUCCCCUGGAACCUUCUCUUGUGUGCAUUCAGUCCUGUCUGGUCUCUAGACACCUGCCAGGCACUCCUGCCCCUCAGCUCCACCUAUUCUGUAAUUUCCUGUUGCUUUCUAGCCACACACCGUAGCACGAGGCGGGGGGGAAGGAGGGGUGGACUUGGCUGUGGUUCAGUGCUUUGCAUUCGUCCAUCUGGUAGACGACCUUGCCUAUGAAAUCUGUUCUUUUUCUUUCUGGAAGAUGUUCAUGGGGUAGCUGUAAAUGCCCACCUAGGCGCUGUCAGGGUUGGGGGAGGGGUGGCAAGGGCUGGAGGUCCAGUUUGGUGGUAGGUUGCUGCUUCAUGGUGCUGGAUUAGCGAAGAUGGCCGAGGGAUGGCAGAGGCGGGGAAGGGAGGUCAUGAAGGAAGAAGACAACAGCUGGGAGAGGAACAGCUCAUGAACACUGGAGAAGUGGCCAGAGGAGAGUGGAAACGAGACACGGAGGACAGACCGUGGUCUAGCCCUUGUGAGUGAAGGGGUCCCGAAGGAACCUCUCCCCUGUGAGCUGCUGGGAUACUUCACCUUGCUUUCCUUGGGAUUCCUUGCCCCUGCAGAUAGGCGGGUGAUGUGCCUGGUUUGACUGAAACUGCCUUUGAGCCUCUUUGUGGGUGGGGGUGGGGGGAGGGAUAAGAUGGGCAUCAUCCAGGAAGGAAAGGGAGCUGUGGGACGCAGGGCGCAGAUAUGCUGGAGGUUUUCCCGCUAGAGACGAGCAGAUAUCCCCAAACAGCUGCGUGCCAUCAGCAGACACGCAGCAAACCCUGCGUUUCCUGCCCCACAGCCUGGUGAGGUCGGGGAGCCAGGCACUCGCUGGUCCUCCUCCUCCUCGGUGUGGAGCUGACGGGCAGGUAGCUCCGAGCUGGGUUUGUUCUGACUUCAGGCAGCACCCGCCAGCAGAAGAACCGGCCCUGUGUGCCACCCCUGUGUCCUCAUUGGCCAGUCAAGGUCGUCGAGUCAAGGUCGGCUCUGCUCUGGAAAGUAGGUUUUAUCCUAUUAACCCUGGGAACAGCUUGCUGACGGGGAGAAACACAAUAGCAAUAUAUACUGUAAACAUGGUGACCUAGUAUUUUUGUUUUAGAGCUGGGAGUCGGGAAAUUUGACUUGAAGGGCCACUUUUUUUCUCUUGACCUGUGCUUUGCAGUUGCUUGGAGGAGAGGGCCUGAAGGCCGUAGGAAGAAGGGGCGUGUUGUGUAUAAGCACACGGGGGCGUGUGUGUGGCCCGUGGUUUCUCCCCCGUUCCUCCGCUGCCCCUUUCCCUCCUCCCCUCAGGUCCCACGUCUUCCGUGCCCUGUAUCUAUUUCUUGGCUGGUGAGUUCAGGCAAAACCCAGCUGUUGCUGGCCUGUGUUUCCUCAUCUGUAAACGGGGCUGGGAAGCCCUAAGUUGCAGCACUGCUCCUGGGAUCCGAGGGCCUGACAGGCGGAUGGUGCUCAGCAGAGUGGGGCUGGGAAUGACUGAGGACGUCCAAUGCUCGUCUGUGUCUGCCUCCCCUCACUUUUCUCCUCUGUGUGCUGUCUGCUCCCUUUGUUCCUCUCUCCCUCCCCGCCCGCCCCCCCCUUCCUGUUUUCUUAGACAGGUUUAGGCAGGUGUCCGAUUUCCCUACUAUAAAAUUCACCCAUUCUGAGUGUGCAUCCCAGGGACUUCGUAAACUCAGACUUAGGGCUCCGUCGUCACGAUCCAACUUUUUGGACCAUUUCUAUCACCCCCAAAAGAUCCUCUGUACCCUGUAUACCUCCCUGUUCCCACCUCAGCCUCGGGCAGCCUCAGAUCUUCUGUCUCGAACAGAUUUGCCUAUUCUGGGCAUUUUCUAUCAGUGGGAGUCCUGCCUGCCUCCUGCCUUCUGUAUCUGGCUUCAUUCACUCAGUAAUACCUUGUGAAAGUUCAUCCCUCCUGUCCUGUCUCAAUACUGCAUUCGUUUUCUUGCUGUUCUUGUUUCUUACUGUUCCACUGUGUGGACAGGCAUUUGUGUGUCUGCUCACCAGCUGAUGGCCACGCCCAUGGCCUCCCCACGCUCCGGUGCACCCCUGUGCAGGUGGGUCCCCCCCUAUUCCAGGCACUCCGGAGAGGUGGCCAGGCUCUGUGGCCUGGGGGGACGGGUCACUUAAGUCCAUGGAAUAGCCAUUCCAUCACUGGUAAGCAGGGAUGGGGGGUUUUCUCGUAAUGUUUCAGGAUUGUUAGAAAAUCUAAUAAACCAAAUAUCUGAAAAAUGUGUCUCAUGUCGUUUCUCGCUGACCUCAGGAAGUAACUCUAAAUUCUUGUAAUGUAGAGAAAAAUCCCCAGCUUCAUCAAACUGACAACUAAAUGGAGAGCGGCUUCAGGAGGCAUAUUCUCCACGUAGUUUUUUCUGAAAAUGUGUGGUGUGCACAUGUCUCGUCUUGCGCUCGUGAAACGUGGAAUGUGUGAUGGACUUAGCAAGAAAAGCCCUGUUGCGGUAGAGACCAGCUUAAGGCGUCUGUGUGAUGGCAGGCCGCGUCCUGAGACCGAGCUCUGCGUUCUGUGUAGCUCUGUCUUCUUCGUGGGGUGCAGCUGGCAUGAGGUGGCCAGAUGCUUGCUGCCCUGUACCCCUGGGGCUCCGGCUCCUUCCUCAUGGGGUCCUGGAUGCGGCAGGGUGCCCAAGUCCUCCUCGGCCCCGCGCUGGGGGGGGCGGAUGCCUUGCAUAGGGCUCAGCAGUUGGUCCUCGCAGGCCGCUGGGUGACGGGGGUCACCGUUGGUCAGUGGAAGAGCUAGAGUUGACCCGUCCCUUGCACCUCCGUACGGAGUAGGGCAUGGAGUAAGGGCAGGAUUUCAGUACAGGAGCGGGCUUCUCGCUGACCCCCAGGACGGCGGGCCCUUCCGAAGCAGUUUGCCGCGACCGGUGUAUCUUCCUGCAGUCCGCAGUUCUCAGCGGGAGCCUGGGGAAUUACGAACCCCACAACAUAGAUCAAGUCUUGACUACUAGGAGUCGAAGUAGUUUGCACAAAAGCAUCUAGGAUGGCAAACAGUGCAUCAUGGUAGAUCCUUUGUUUCUUCUCAAACUUACAGUGUAACCUGGGGAUUUACGAACCCCACAACAUAGAUCAAGUCUUGACCACUAGGAGUCGAAGUAGUUUGCACAAAAGCAUCUAGGAUGGCAAACAGUGCAUCAUGGUAGAUCCUUUGUUUCUUCUCAAACUUAUAGUGUAACCAUAAGCCCCCCCACGGUUAAACGAGCCAGAAGGAAACAAAAAACCUUAAAAGAAUUUUAAGAUGGCUUCCCCUCCAUGCCCGGACUUAAUUUGGAAAACAUUUGCAUGUAGUGGUCAUAGAGGGCUAGCACUUCAUCCCGAACCAGCCUCCGCUCUGUCAUGUGGGUACCAGAGGGGUCCUCCACUAAAGGGGCUAUGAUUAGCCUUCCACGGAAGGAAAUCAGAAACCAGACAACAGGACUGGAUGCGUUAAAACCGUGGCAUCCUUUUCUUGACUGAAAUUUCACCAGGUGGCUCUUGCUGUUGAUAGACCUCAUGGAGCAGUAUCCAGUUACGUCGAAUAUUAUCUGUCACUUCCUAAGUGGUAUACUGGGCCCCAGCAACCUGUCACCCACAUUUCCUUACCCAGUCUGGAGGGAAA